rnacentral:lncRNA from 1 species
CGUGUUUCUCUUCUCUCCUUUGUCGUCAUCUCUAGUUUUCUUCGUCGUCUUUCCUUUCCAGUCAUCUCUUCUCUUCUCUCCUUUGCAGUCGUCUCAAUUCUUCUCUCCUUUGCCGUAGAUCUUUGUCUCAGUUCUCUCUACACUUAAUCAUCUCAUUCCCAUCGUAUAAGAUUGCUAUUGAAUUUUAAUUUCGACUUCAAAUUCAGCUCCAACUGCAAUUUUUCCUUAUCUAAAUGUUUUAUUUUCAAUUUCAUAUUUGUUCUUUGAUGUCAGAAUUUUUAGGUUUAUCAAUUAUUGUGAUCUGUUUGUGAUAUGUUUGUGUUAUGUUUGUGAUCUGUUUUUGAUCUGUUUUUGAUUUGUUUGUGUAUAUUAAGUACUUUUAUAAUGUUGAAUUUGGUUCAAAUGCAAAGAUACGUUCAGAUAUUAUGUUGAAUUUGGUUUGGGCAAGUUAUAGUUUUCCAAUUUCUUGUACUAGAUUACCUUUGAUGAUGUUGGAACCUAUUGGUGUGCUUUGUUUCGUGUUAUGAUGCUUGAAGCUUGGGUUUUGUUAAUAUUUUAGUUCUAAGAAGCUAGAUUGUUUAUUUAAUUGUAAACCCAACGUAGGUGGACAUGGAAAUAGAUUGUUUUUUCUAUCGUACCCUGCUGUACCCUAUUGUGGCUUGAAAUGAUCAGAGAAGAGACCAUGUUACUAACAAAAAUCUUCUAAUCAAGAUUGAACAUUGUUCAUAAAACUCGGAAUGUAAAGAUCUAUGCAAAUGACGUAUUCUUGGUGUGUGUGUGUGUGUGUUUCAGGUGCUCUCAUUUGAUGAACAGAUGCUGGCAUUGAGCUGAAGUGCUAAGAAUUGGAACCUCUAGUGGAGAAAGUGACCGAAGUUGACUGGUUGCAAAAGCCUCUUCUUAGGAGACUUUGUUUGUUUGUUUUGUGUUGAUGUUGAUAGGGUGGGAUUGACUGGUUGCAAAAGCAUGUUCUUAGGAGUCUUUGUUUGAUUGUUUUGUGUUGAUGUUAGUGGCUGUGAUCUUGUCGAUGCUACAAUUUUGUUGAAACAAUGUUCUUGAGUAGAUACAUGAUGUUUAAGAUAACUAAAUGCAUUUUACUUGAAUGGGAACCUCCACGCACUUGAUAAAACUGUUGAGACGUCCAAUUUCGAAUCUACAGCAGCUUGCCUUUUGUUCUUCCAUCGAUCAAUGUUGGAUUCAUUUGUGAAAAUGACCUGUUGAACAUUUAAACUCAGCAACUCUAUAUAAGAAAGACUAUGGAGUAACAUAGACUUAGAAGGAAUACUAUCUGAAAAUAAGAUACCAGCUUAUAAUUUUGCA